AGCCCAACGUAGCAUAUACAGACAUGUAUUCUUCAUGUAUACUUCCUUUUUUUUCCAUAAAAGUUGGGUAUUACUGAAAAUACCCAUGCAUCACUGUAGCUCCGCCCCUGCCAAGCCACAUUUGGUUGGGAGCGUGUACAAGGAUGGAGCCAUUCCAUCCCAUUUAGAGAGUGUUUGGUUGAAGAGCUAGGGAAUACUCCCUCGGAUUCGGGAUGGACAGGCUCCGAGAAAAUGGUCGAACGAGUUCAUCCCCUCCGACGCCGUAUCUCGCCGUCUCCUUCCUGCACGCGCUUCCCUGUGUCGCCGCCCUCUGCUCC
rnacentral:lncRNA from 1 species